rnacentral:rRNA from 1 species
UUGAUCCUGGCUCAGAAUCAACGCUGGCGGCGUGCCUAACACAUGCAAGUCGAACGCGAAAGUCCCGCAAGGGAUCAGUAGAGUGGCAAACGGGUGAGUUACACGUGGGUGACCUGCCUUCGAGCGGGGGAUAACGUCCCGAAAGGGACUCUAAUACCGCAUGACAUCCUGCCUUUGAAGAGGUGGAGAUCAAAGCUGGUGAUCGCAAGACCUAGCACUCGAAGAGGGGCCCGCGCCCGAUUAGCUAGUUGGUGGGGUAACGGCUCACCAAGGCAACGAUCAGUAUCCGGCCUGAGAGGUCGGACGGACACACUGGGACUGAGACGCGGCCCAGACUCCUACGGGAGGCUGCAGUGGGGAAUUGUUCGCAAUGGGCGCAAGCCUGACGACGCAACGCCGUGUGGAGGAUGAAGACCUUCGGGUCGUAAACUCCUUUCGAUCGAGACGAAUGGCUUCCGGGUGAACAACCCGGAAGAGUGACGGUACCGAGAGAAGAAGCUCCGGCUAACUCCGUGCCAGCAGCCGCGGUAAUAAGGU